UAUAAGCCAUUUUAGACGUGUAGUUGUUAUUUAAAAGCAGUUUGAAUGAGUUGACGAUGAGUGUUUUAGUAAAAAUGGACAAAAUCAAGUAUCAAGAUGCAACUAAUUAUUUGUUGAGCAACAUGGGAGAAACACCUAGUCACAUCUGUUAAGUAUCUGUUUAUAGUUACUCACCAAAGUUUCAGCCGUUUUGGGCUUAAAAUAUUUAACGACAGCACGGUAACCAAUUUUUUCCCUUUUCACAACUACACUCACAUCAAUUCAAUCAAACAACGGUUACGAAUUAACAACUGCGCGUACGUACAAAAUGGCUGAAACUUUGGUUGUUCCAAAGUGAUUGAGACUUACACAGUAAGACAAGAAAUUACAUUCAAAAAUUUAAAAAAAAAAGUACUCCAUCAUGUUACCUAGUCUCCUUUGGCUCGAACAACGUCGUAGCAAUGGUUCUCCAACUUCCACAACUGCCUGGAGAUCUCUUCUUCGCUCACUAACUUCACAACUCACUGAACGCCGCGUGUGACAUCUUCAUGGCUAUCAAAAUCGUAAUCUCAGAGCAAGAGAAAACGGUCACAGAGAUUGAGAUCCGAGCUUUUGGGACUCUGUUUGAUCGCUUCAACCUUUCUCCGCGUUAAAAACCGCUUCAUCACUUUCUUAUCUUUAAUGACCCGAGAGUGGGGUACCAACACUCAAUUUGGGUUUUUCUAUACCAGGUCCUUGAUUUAGUUGAUGCUAUUGGGUUCCCUUAUUUUCCGGGUUUGUACUGAUGAGACACCUUUAUCGAACUUAAAAGUGCUAUCCGGUAUCUCAACAGCCCACCAAAGGAUGGUUGCACGAAUAGUGUGGUCGGUGUGGAUAUCAGGCACUAUUUUGCUCAGUUUGUCGCGUAUCAAAAAGUAAGGGCAAAAAAAUGCGAGUCUCCAUGUUCAGCGUCGAAUGGAAAAA
rnacentral:lncRNA from 1 species